rnacentral:rRNA from 1 species
UACGUAGGGUGCGAGCGUUGUCCGGAAUUAUUGGGCGUAAAGGGCUCGUAGGCGGUUUGUCGCGUCGGGAGUGAAAACCCAGGGCUUAACCCUGGGCUGGCUUUCGAAACGGGCAGACUAGAGGUAUGCAGGGGAGAACGGAAUUCCUGGUGUAGCGGUGAAAUGCGCAGAUAUCAGGAGGAACACCGGUGGCGAAGGCGGUUCUCUGGGCAUUACCUGACGCUGAGGAGCGAAAGUGUGGGGAGCGAACAGG